UGGGGAAUAUUGCGCAAUGGGGGAAACCCUGACGCAGCAACGCCGCGUGAAGGAUGAAGGUUUUCGGAUCGUAAACUUCUUUGAUGAGGGACGAGCAAAAUGACGGUACCUCAAAAACAAGCCACGGCUAACUACGUGCCAGCAGCCGCGGUAAUACGUAGGUGGCGAGCGUUGUCCGGAAUUACUGGGUGUAAAGGGCGUGUAGGCGGGGAUGUAAGUCAGAUGUGAAAUUCCAUGGCUCAACUGUGGGGCUGCAUCUGAAACUAUGUCUCUUGAGUGCCGGAGAGGGAAGCGGAAUUCCUAGUGUAGCGGUGAAAUGCGUAGAUAUUAGGAGGAACACCAGUGGCGAAGGCGGCUUUCUGGACGGUAACUGACGCUGAGGCGCGAAAGCGUGGGG
rnacentral:rRNA from 1 species